GUUGUGUUUCAAUGGUAGAGAGCUUGCCUGGUAAAUGUGAGGCACUGGGUUCGAUCCUCAGCACCACA
rnacentral:tRNA from 1 species